AGAGUUUGAUCCUGGCUCAGAACGAACGCUGGCGGCAGGCUUAACACAUGCAAGUCGAGCGCUCACUUCGGUGGGAGCGGCAGACGGGUGAGUAACGCGUGGGAAUCUACCCAACUCUACGGAAUAACUCAGGGAAACUUGUGCUAAUACCGUAUACGCCCUUCGGGGGAAAGAUUUAUCGGAGUUGGAUGAGCCCGCGUUGGAUUAGCUAGUUGGUGGGGUAAAGGCCUACCAAGGCGACGAUCCAUAGCUGGUCUGAGAGGAUGAUCAGCCACACUGGGACUGAGACACGGCCCAGACUCCUACGGGAGGCAGCAGUGGGGAAUAUUGGACAAUGGGCGCAAGCCUGAUCCAGCCAUGCCGCGUGUGUGAUGAAGGCCCUAGGGUUGUAAAGCACUUUCAACGGUGAAGAUAAUGACGGUAACCGUAGA
rnacentral:rRNA from 1 species